AGCGGCUCCAGGGACCUCCUCCAUUAGCGGCCAGUCACUCUGAAGAAGCCAGUCGCUAACCCGGCCUCUCCUUCCCUUCCUAAUCCGAGACAGAGUGGGACUGCCUCACCCAGCACGGAAACCGAGACGUCCCAUACAGAAAGGGAAACUGAGGCUGAGGGUUCAGACUUCAAGAGGUCCAGCAUUGCUAGCUCCAUUGCUUUGGAACUGUGGGAGCUAGAGCACAGGGCUCAAAGAAGAAGUGUGGCCAAUUGCAGAAGAUGGGGCAGAGAGAGCCCAUGGACACUCCAGGCUCCGGGUGAAUUCUCAUCUCUUUUCCCUAGAAGCAGAGCAGAAUGAAGUGACCAUCAAGGCCACAUCUUCCUUAUACAUUGAAGAGUGGUUGAAGAGAACACCUGAUAUCAGCCUGUGGUCUCCAUAUGGACGUGCACGUGUCAUUCCUCUGGUUGGUACCGCACACUCAAUUACCAGGGUUUGCAGAAUGAAGCAGACCUUGGCAAUACCAUCACCUACCACCAGGGGCACUGCUGCCUUGGAGACCUCCAGACAGAGAGGGCUUCUGAGAAGGCAUCAUGACCAGCUUAGUGGGAAGGAGAGGUUUUGGCUACUUACUGACAUUUGGAUCAACAUGUUCCCCUGAGAAACGAGGAGAAGCCAUCCUGUUCCUUCCAGAGCCUGGCUUCGGGAGGAUAAUAUACACUUCCAUUUGUCACCAGCAGCUCUGUGUUCUUUCCUGAGUUAUCCCAGGUCCCAGAGGAGCUCACAAAUGCUGGGAACAUUCUUCGUAGCCCAACCCAUUUCAGUGCUGAGUAUCCCCAUUAUUUGGAAAGCCACCAUUCUCCUAAUUCUCCCCCGAAGGACAUUUUGCUUUCUCUAAGGGUUUGGUGAUGGUGGGAAAAGCUGCUAUAAAUGUUACCGUGCUG
rnacentral:lncRNA from 1 species